GUGGGUUGGGGUGUGGACUGGCGAGUGUGUCCUUGAGCUCCUUAGCAUCUGCAGCCAAGGUGGCCCAUAAGGAGGAGCUGUGACAUGUGGCCUUGUCCUCGGAUGACCUGAAGACCUCUACUCCCAGGCCUGAGCUGCUCUGCUGGUCCUACCUAAACAGCCUCAUUGAUGGGAGCAGAGACCCUGUGCUCCUAGACUUCAGCAGGAGAUUAGGAGAACACGGAGUCCCUUGUACAGGCAGAAAGACAAGAGGGACUCACCCAGGAAAAAGGAAGAGAGCACCAAAGGGAAGACAGUAGCAGGCAAGUAGGACUGUAGGAUUACAGCAGCGGGCCACACCAUGGAGCUGAGAAGUUCGCA
rnacentral:lncRNA from 1 species